rfam:Hortaea werneckii EXF-2000 unitig_658, whole genome shotgun sequence.
GUCUUGCUGGCGCAAUGGUAGCGCGCCAGACUUCUAUAAUGAAAUCUGGAGGUUGUACGUGAUCUCCACCAUCCUGCGCUUACCAGCACUUGUGCUAACAACUACAAAGGCGGGUUCGAGUCCCGCGUGAGAUG